rnacentral:lncRNA from 1 species
AGACAGAAUUAUCAAACACUAUUGACUGUGAGAGCUGGACAGACAGAAAGACAGACAGCCAGAAAGAAAGACAGAAAGACAGCCAGCAAGACAUCCAACCAGUCAGAAAGACAGACAGCUAGCCAGACAUGGGUAAAACAGUCAGUCCCACUCAGAGCAGCCUUCACUCAUCCAACAGAUUUUCAUCAGACAGACAGUCGUACACAUUGAACUGAGGGACGUGACUGAAGUCACCCAUCUCCUCACACCAUGACGGUUCCAGUAGAUUAGUGGUUUAGACCAGGGCCACCAGUCUGUGGGAGAAGAGAGACUGUGACCUACCGAUGCUGUGGUGUUACAGCAGCCCAAACCAACACAGCUGUGUGGCGCAGCCUAAACCCUGACAGGAAGGAGCUUCCACUCCAACUACAAUGGACGAAUGCACAUCCACACACAAAGUCUGACUGACUCAAAUGAACAUGUAAUGGUACACUGUUGGUACACUGGGCAGAGAGGUCUGUAGACCUAGAGGAGACAGUGUAGAGGUCUGUAGACCUAGAGGAGACAGUGUAGAGGUCUGUAGACCUAGAGGAGACAGUGUAGAGGUCUGUAGACCUAGAGGAGACAGUGUAGAGGUCUGUAGACCUAGAGGAGACAGUGUAGAGGUCUGUAGACCUAGAGGAGACAGUGUAGAGACACUGGUACACUGGGCAGAGAGGUCUGU